CUACGGGCUGUUGCAGUGAGGAAUAUUGCACAAUGGGGGGAACCCUGAUGCAGCAACGCCGCGUGGAGGAUGACGCAUUUCGGUGUGUAAACUCCUUUUAUAUGUCAAGAAAAUGACGGUAGCAUAUGAAUAAGCACCGGCUAACUCCGUGCCAGCAGCCGCGGUAAUACGGAGGGUGCAAGCGUUACUCGGAAUCACUGGGCGUAAAGGACGCGUAGGCGGGUUGGGAAGUCAGGUGUGAAAUCCUACAGCUUAACUGUAGAACUGCACUUGAAACUUCUAAUCUAGAGUAUGGGAGGGGGAGAUGGAAUUAGUGGUGUAGGGGUAAAAUCCGUAGAUAUCACUAGGAAUACCUAAAGCGAAGGCGAUCUCCUGGAACAUUACUGACGCUAAGGCGUGAAAGCGUGGGGAGCAAACAGGAUUAGAUACCCUAGUAGUC
rnacentral:rRNA from 1 species